rnacentral:pre_miRNA from 1 species
CUCAUACUCCCUCUGUCCCAAAAUUAUUAUCUUAGAUUUACCAAAAUACGGACGUACCUAGUCACAUUUUAGUGUUAGAUACAUUUGUAUCUUGACAAAUCUAAGACAAGAAUUUUAGGACGGAGAUAGUAUCAU